rnacentral:rRNA from 1 species
CAAGUCGAACGAGAAGCCAGGCUUUCGGCCUGGUGGAAAGUGGCAGACGGGUGAGGAACACGUGGGAAUCUGCCCAAUGGUACGGAAUAACUUCGGGAAAGCGGAGCUAAUGCCGUAUAAGCCCUUCGGGGGAAAGAUUUAUCGCCAUUGGAUGAGCCCGCGUCGGAUUAGCUUGUUGGUAGGGUAACGGCCUACCAAGGCGACGAUCCGUAGCUGGUCUGAGAGGAUGAUCAGCCACACUGGGACUGAGACACGGCCCAGACUCCUACGGGAGGCAGCAGUGGGGAAUAUUGCACAAUGGGCGCAAGCCUGAUGCAGCCAUGCCGCGUGAGUGAAGAAGGCCUUAGGGUUGUAAAACUCUUUCACCGGUGAAGAUAAUGACGGUAGCCGGAGAAGAAGCCCCGGCCAACUCCGUGCCAGCAGCCGCGGUAAUACGGAGGGGGCUAGCAUUGUUCGGAAUUACUGGGCGUAAAGCGCACGUAGGCGGACUGAUAAGUUGGGGGGUGAAAUCCCCAAGGCUCAACCUUGGGAACUGCCCUCGAAACUGUCAGUCUUGAGUCCGGAAGAGGUGAGUGGAAUUCCUAGUGGUAGAAGGUGAAAUUCGUAGAUAUUUAAGGAAGAAACNACCAGUGGCGAAAGGCGGC